CUGACCUUAGCUCAGUUGGUAGAGUGGUGGACUGUAGUUGGACUAAUCUUAAUUGGAAAUCCUUAGGUCGCUGGUUUGAUUCCGGCAGGUUGGA
rfam:Ipomoea nil DNA, scaffold: scaffold2797, cultivar: Tokyo-kokei standard.